AAAUUGAAGAGUUUGAUCAUGGCUCAGAUUGAACGCUGGCGGCAGGCCUAACACAUGCAAGUCGAGCGGUAGCACAGAGAGCUUGCUCUCGGGUGACGAGCGGCGGACGGGUGAGUAAUGUCUGGGAAACUGCCUGAUGGAGGGGGAUAACUACUGGAAACGGUAGCUAAUACCGCAUAACGUCGCAAGACCAAAGUGGGGGACCUUCGGGCCUCAUGCCAUCAGAUGUGCCCAGAUGGGAUUAGCUAGUAGGUGGGGUAACGGCUCACCUAGGCGACGAUCCCUAGCUGGUCUGAGAGGAUGACCAGCCACACUGGAACUGAGACACGGUCCAGACUCCUACGGGAGGCAGCAGUGGGGAAUAUUGCACAAUGGGCGCAAGCCUGAUGCAGCCAUGCCGCGUGUGUGAAGAAGGCCUUCGGGUUGUAAAGCACUUUCAGCGGGGAGGAAGGCGGUGAGGUUAAUAACCUUGGCGAUUGACGUUACCCGCAGAAGAAGCACCGGCUAACUCCGUGCCAGCAGCCGCGG
rnacentral:rRNA from 1 species